AAUAGGGACUUCCUCAGGGACCACAAUAUUAAGAAACAAUUUGAUACAGUACAAUCAAAAAACAAAUCAAAAUCAAAAAAGGGCUGUUUUUUGAUUGUACUGUAUCAAAUUGUUUCUUAAUAUUGUGGUCCCUGAGGAAGUCCCUAU